UACGUAGGGUGCGAGCGUUGUCCGGAAUUAUUGGGCGUAAAGAGCUUGUAGGCGGUUUGUCGCGUCUGCUGUGAAAACUCGGGGCUUAACCCCGAGCCUGCAGUGGAUACGGGCAGACUAGAGGUAGGUAGGGGAGAAUGGAAUUCCCGGUGUAGCGGUGAAAUGCGCAGAUAUCAGGAGGAACACCGGUGGCGAAGGCGGGUCUCUGGGACGACACUGACGCUGAGACGCGAAAGCGUGGGGAGCGAACAGG
rnacentral:rRNA from 1 species